GGGGGAUUGGCGCAAUGGUAGCGCGUUGGUUUUCGGUCCAUCUGAAAGCGCACCAAAGGUUGUGGGUUCGAGCCCCAUGUCCCUCG